UUUCAGUGCAUGUUUCUUGAGUUCCCAAGGCAUGGUUUUGGGCUCAAAUUUGGCCAAGAUCAUCUCUUUAGCAAGAUUUUGUGGUCUUGACAUCUCUAGAAGUUCGUGGUAUAAUCCAACAUUUGCCGCAUAACCCGGUCAUUGGGGCUCAAGGAAUUGAAGGUUCAAAGGCUUCUCUGGCCGCUUCUUCCCAAUCACGUCCGUAUUAACGCCAUGCUCUCAGGCUGUCCAGAGAUUUGGCUGGAAAGAGCAUUGGAUAUCAGUUCUUCUUUCUUCCCGUCCACUAUUUUUGGGCCACUCACUCUUCAUGAGAUCUACUUGGAUUGGCAAUAGAGCGAAGGUCGAAUCAA